rnacentral:snRNA from 1 species
AGAUAUGAAGGCAAUCUGGUUGCCACAUCUGUUGAUCACCAGGGUUCACCAUAGAUCACCAGGGUUGAUUUGGCUGAUCUAGUUGACUAGGAGGGUGUCCCCUCCCUCCAUCACUACUCCACAUGUGUCCCUAUCAAAGGUAUGUGUUCAGUUGAAGAAGGAGGCCACCCCCAAGAGAAAAGGAGCAUAUCCUGACUCAAGGGUACACAAAGCUGUGCUCCCCUGCUAGAAUCUCGAAAGACACUCUCAAGAAUAACUAAUAGAAUUCAAUAGAUAACUCUAUCUACAAUUAUUUUGUGGGAUGACAAGAAU